rnacentral:rRNA from 1 species
AUGGGACUGAGACACGGCCCAUACACCUACGGGUGGCUGCAGUCGAGAAUCUUCCGCAAUGGACGAAAGUCUGACGGAGCGACGCCGCGUGAUUGAUGAAGUCCCUCUGGGACGUAAAGAUCUUUUAUGAGGGAAGAAGUUAUUGACUGUACCUCAUGAAUAAGGGGCUCCUAAUCUCGUGCCAGCAGGAGCGGUAAUACGAGAGCCUCGAGCGUUAUCCGGAAUUAUUGGGCGUAAAGGGUGUGUAGGUUGUGGUGUUAGUCUUUCGUUAAAUCCCAGAGCUCAACUUUGGAACCGCGAAGGAAACGGCACUACUUGAGAGUGUGAGAGGUCUAUGGAACUCAUGGUGUAGGGGUGAAAUCCGUUGAUAUCAUGGGGAACACCAAAAGCGAAGGCAAUAGACUGGCACAUAUCUGACACUGAAACACGAAAGCGUAGGUAGCGAAUGGGAUUAGAUACCCCAGUAGUCUACGCCCUAAACGAUCUUCUCUAGUCUUUCGGAGUAUCGACCCUCUGAGAGGCGUAGCUAACGCGUUAAGAGAAGCGCCUGGGAAGUACGGUCGCAAGACUAAAACUCAAAGGAAUAGACGGGGACUUGCACAAGCAGUGGAUUAUGUGGUUUAAUUCGAUGGUAACCGAAAAACCUCACCAAGGUUAGAAAUCAACGUGAAAGCUCUAGGAAACUAGAGCCCUCGCAAGACUAGUUGACAGGUGAUGCAUGGCCGUCGUCAGUUCGUGGUUUGAAUUGUUCCCUUAAGUGGGGUAACGAACGCAACCCUCGUUGCCUGUUAAAUAUGUCACACAAGACUGCUCAGAACUUUGCGUUUGAGUGGUGUUUAAUUACACCAUUCGAAAAUAAAGUUCU